rnacentral:rRNA from 1 species
GCGGCCUAUCAGCUUGUUGGUGAGGUAAUAGCUCACCAAGGCGACGACGGGUAGCCGGCCUGAGAGGGUGAACGGCCACACUGGGACUGAGACACGGCCCAGACUCCUACGGGAGGCAGCAGUGGGGAAUAUUGCGCAAUGGACGAAAGUCUGACGCAGCGACGCCUCGUGAGGGACGAAGGUCUUCGGAUUGUAAACCUCUUUCAGCAGGGACGAAGCGAAAGUGACGGUACCUGCAGAAGAAGCACCGGCUAACUAUGUGCCAGCAGCCGCGGUAAUACAUAGGGUGCAAGCGUUGUCCGGAAUUAUUGGGCGUAAAGAGUUCGUAGGUGGUUCGUUACGUCGGAUGUGAAAAUCUGGGGCUCAACCCCAGACCUGCAUUCGAUACGGGCGAGCUAGAGUUUGGUAGGGGAGACUGGAAUUCCU